UAUCUUCAGGGCAGGGUGCAAUUCCCUACCGGCGGUAAAGCCCGCGAGCCGAAAGGCAUGAUUCGGUGUAACUCCGAAGCCGACAGUAUAGUCUGGAUGAAAGAAGAUA
rnacentral:ncRNA from 1 species